UAUAGGCUAGUUACAAUAUCCGAUCCAAACGGGCUCCAAGAAAAACCCUAGCCGCCUCAGAAAAAAUCCCAUCCGAUCUCACUCAUCUCUCACUCUCAUCCGAUCUACACACAUUCGUUUUUCUCACUCAUACACAUUCCUCCCUUUCCCACACGCUGAAGCCUCUAGUAACAAGUGGAAAUUACAGAAUUCAGAGCUAAAAUUUGAAAGUUACGAAGCUGAUUUUCAGUCUCAAAUCUUUUCCCCCCCCCACAUUUUCUGGGGAUUUCAGAGCUUGAUGGAACUGUAGAGUUUGUUUCGAAGCUGAGAGGUUGAUUUAAACUCAAAUCACUGUUCGAUUCCGCUGAUUUUUACUGCUUCUGGAAUUGCUGAGCUCCGUUUGGGUUUGCUUCUGACUUUAGUCGGUUUAUUCAAGUUUUUCUUUGUUCAACCAGAUGGUUGAGGCAGCACGAAUAUGGGAACUGUGAACUUCCUCUUGAAUCUAACUAAGAAUUAUUUCACCUUUGGGCUUAUAGGACUUACUGUAUCUGAUCGUUAUGCUAGUAUUGUCCCUGUUGGUGGCAUUUCAAUGUCUCCUACAUUUAAUCCACACGAUGACAGUUCCAUGAGAUCCUUGACUCGUAACUACUGUUUUUCCUCUCUUUUACAUUCUUUAUGUUUCCUGUUGUGGAUAAAGAUGAAAACUUCUGCAUUAGUCGUUGUGGUGCAGGUGACUUUGUUAUAGUGGAGAAGCUUUGCCUAGAAAAAUUCAAGUUCUCUCUUGGCGAUGUGGUUGUGUUCAGCAUGGUUCCAAGCUUUCAGUAGAUCACAUGUGUUUCCCGGCAUUAUCCAUUUCAAAUUUACCGGGGCCAAAAAUAGAUUCCAUAGUUGGGAAGUGAAAGCACAAUGGAGAAAGAGAUAGCUAUUGUUUUCAAAUUCAGCUUUGCAGCAGAGGAAGCAUCUGGAGGUUAAUGGGAUACCCCUUCUCUGAAGAAUAUCCUGAGUUAGACAAGCCCUCCUUGCUACUAGCCAUGUAAAGCAGUUAACCUUGUAAGCUCUCCAGCUAAUCAUAAAGAGAAACAUAUAAAGAGAAUAACAGCCUUACCAGGUGAUUUGGUCAGUACCCCUCAUUAUGAUGCAGUAUUGAUCCCUGAAGGACAUUGUUGGGUUGAAGGAGACAAUCAUGCUUGGAGCUUGGACUCGAGAUCUUUUGGUCCUAUCCCUCUGGGUUUGGUUCGUGGAAGGGUCACCCAUGUUGUGUGGCCUCCUCACAGGGUUGGAAAAGUUGAAAGAAUGACACCAAAGAGCAUAGCACCCUUUUAAUUGUACUUUUGAGUAAAUCAUCAAUUUUCAACUUCAUGGAUUUCUUAGGCAGUUGCUUCCUAUAAGAAGGCAUCAACAUUCUAGCAAUAUUAUAGGUUGUACACUCACUGUUCAUUAUAACACAGAAUCAUUCUCUUAAAUGUGUUCAUUUCUUGGAAAAGUUGUGCUUCUGUAUUGGAACAGUUGAAAUUCUGAGCUAACAAUUUCAAAA